AGUUCAAUGAUCAUAAGAUCAUUGAUCGCCAGGGUUGAUUCGGCUGAUCUGGCUGGCUAGGCGGGUGUCCCCUUCCUCCCUCACCACUCCAUGUGGGUCCCUCCCGAAGCUGCGCGAUCGGUCGAAGAGGACGACCAUCCCCGCUAGAGGAGGACCGGUCUUCAGUCAAGGGUAUACGAGUAGCUGCGCUCCCCUGCUAGAACCUCCAAACAAGCUCUCUUUUUCAUCUUAGAAGAUUGGUAGCCUUGAAGUCAGGAAGUGUGGAUCUUAAAG
rnacentral:snRNA from 1 species